rnacentral:rRNA from 1 species
AUUGAACGCUGGCGGCAUGCUUUACACAUGCAAGUCGAACGGUAACAGGUUAAGCUGACGAGUGGCGAACGGGUGAGUAAUGCAUCGGAACGUGCCCGAUCGUGGGGGAUAACGCAGCGAAAGCUGCGCUAAUACCGCAUACGAUCUGAGGAUGAAAGCGGGGGACCGUAAGGCCUCGCGCGAUCGGAGCGGCCGAUGUCAGAUUAGGUAGUUGGUGGGGUAAAGGCCCACCAAGCCGACGAUCUGUAGCUGGUCUGAGAGGACGACCAGCCACACUGGGACUGAGACACGGCCCAGACUCCUACGGGAGGCAGCAGUGGGGAAUUUUGGACAAUGGGCGGAAGCCUGAUCCAGCAAUGCCGCGUGCAGGAAGAAGGCCUUCGGGUUGUAAACUGCUUUUGUACGGAGCGAAAAGGUUUCUACUAAUACUAGGAGCUCAUGACGGUACUGUAAGAAUAAGCACCGGCUAACUACGUGCCAGCCGCCGCCGUAA